UAGCAAUAGGUUCUGUGCACAAGCCUAUGGACGAUUUUCCGCUUUAGCCAGAUGUCAGCAUAUCAGUUUCCGGUUUACUUAAGGCGGUCACCCGCGUUGCCCAAGAUUUCAGUUUUUAGUAGAUGAGCAUUAGGGAUGUCCAUCGAAUUGUUGAUGCCUGGUCCCCUGCUCCAACAAGCAAGCGGAACAAGGGAUUUAAACUCUACGUAUCAAGUUAUCUGCACAACUACGAGGGUCAGGAUCUUCAGCUAGAUGGUACAGAAAAAAAACACCACAUUGGACCUUGCGAGCCCAGACAGCAGACCAUAAAAAAGGACAACAGAGAAACAACAAGAUCUACAGUAGAACUUCAGGCAGAACCAAAACUCCAGUUGAGGGGAUCAGCAUUGACCAUGAGUCAUCUGACACUAAAUCCAGAUAUCCAUCAUGAUUUCCACCCAGCAGGGCCAAAACUCAAGUCAAAGACAUCAGCAAUCUCCCUGAGUCGUCUCUAAACAGUUCUUUCACCCAACCUCCAAGCUCCAUGUCCUGCCGCUCACUGCCUUCCCUGCUUCACUCCAGAGAUCAGCAGAUUAGCCGAGAUGCAACUUCAACCUCAUCCAGCUCACGACCUCGCAGCUGCCCAUCAUGCUUCUCACUGUCAUCAAUGUGGAAGAGCAGAGAAAUAACCAGAUCUGCAAUAUCAGUUCCUCCUGACCAAACCAAAAAUCUAGUCGAGGAGACCAGCAUUCUCCAUAAGUUAUCUGAAACAUGUAUAACGUGCAAUAACACCCACUGUUUAAAUAGCGUAGUGGUUAAUGACACAGUCUGUCACAGGAAACCACAGAUCAAAUCCAAAAAGGGCAACAACAUUCAUUCCUUCUAAUUGCAGGAAGGAUACUAAAGGUAAUUUUGAGGUAAUUUAAACUCCAACUCCCAACAUGCUCCAAAUUCACCCAAAAGAGUCUUGUUUGUUCGUGCUCCAUUUGUGCUGUUUGUUCCAGUAAAAGUUUUGUUGCUGUUUUAUAUAUUAUACAUGACAUUUUUUGUGAUGACAUCACCAGCCCUCCAACAUGCUAUUAAUUGACUCAAAAUAGAUACUUUUAGUUUACUUUCAUAUCAAGUAUGGAAGUGAAUAGUUAAAGGUGCCCUAUGCAAAUUAAAUCCACCUAUAGGCAGUGAGCUGUAUAUCGGUUCUAUAACUCCAUUAGGAUCUGACAUUGUCAUUAUUAUCUACGAGCAUGCAGACCAGUUUGAAGCAGUAUCACCUCCAACCGUUGAUGCUGAAACAAUGAAGACAGAUUUAAGUUGCAAAUGGGUUUAAAGUUGAUGGGUCCUUUCCAUAACUAUGGAACACAGAAUUAAACAAAGUAAACAGCUAAACCAAUCAUAUGGCAUAUCUAUUGCAUUAGAUGCAUUGUCAUAUUUUAGAGACUCUAAAGUAACCUUUAAUUGCCAUUUUAACCUGUGUGUGUCACCUUGUGUUUCUGUAACAAGGCCAAACAUUGAAGGGUAUGUAAACUUUUGAUCAGGGCCAUUAUUUCUGUUAUCAUUAUGAUUUAAAAAGGAGCCAAACAUUUACGUGAUAAUAAUAGUUUUCCAAAUAUUAUCCAAAAGCUUGGAGAUUAUUGCAAUUAUGAAGUACAAAAUAAAAAGAAGUUGAUGUACCUCAGUAAAGAUUGAAGGGAUCUGGAGCCAUCAUGGAUUAUUAAACCUCUAAAUAAUUUGGGAUAUUGCUUCAGGUGUAAAUACAGAUGUUUAACAGGAUGUACUUAAAUUAUGACAUACUGUAUGAGCUUUUUGGCUUCCGUGGCAAUAAAAAUGACUACACCAAGGCAGGGUAGUCAGAACCAUAGACAUCUUAUUUAAAGGCUAGACGUCUCAAGGCGCAGUCACUUCCGGCAUCACCGGUGGCCAUCUUGUCACAGGCAGGCUUCCUGUCGGGCUCUGUGGUACCUAAUAUAAGGUGAGUGAUCAGCACUAACACAAAUACUCUUAUCUCGCUGAAACCUUGACGGAUUUACAAACAGUUUGGUUUCUUACAAACGUUAUUAACGUGGCUAUAAUUCUGAAUGAUUGAAAAUGUUGAAAUUGCAGCUUUUCUUUUCUAAAAACGUCUAAAUCGUGCAGCAUAGUUGGAUCACGGCUACUUGCGCAAGUUAUCAAGGCAGAUAUCACAAACGAGCUGUUCGAUUAUAGAGGUUUUACUGACACCAAUAAUGAUUUUAUGACAACUAAUCUUUUGUCUAAAUUACAAUAUUUGUGGAUGUGGUUGUAGUUAUUUGCUGGCUAAUAACAAUAAGCUUUGAGUGAAACCUAUGGCAGCUAACGUUACAGUUUCGCUGCUAACCAGCGAAGUUGCACAUGCUUUUCAAUCCGGUUGGUUCCUGUGUUGCUUGAAGGACAGCAAUAUGUCCUGACCUACAGGUUCAGCCAGGACCACUUGGAGCUUCUCUUAAACUCCAUCAGAGUAUCUGCCAGUUCAAGUACAUCUUUAGGAUGUAAAGCUGAUGGCCCAGUGUGGGGGUUGUUAAACCAUGCAGAGGCAAUGUGACGGCACAGGAUGACACAGAGUCCCUACCAGCUGUCAUCGACACCUCUACAAGCCUGUCAGCUGUAGAUGUGUCCUCUGCAGCAGGAGGAGAAGAUCUUCCAUCCCUGUUUGCUGACAUUCCUGCCCUAGUACAUGAUCACAGCUACCUUCCCGUCCACCUUCCCGUCCACUUCGAUGGUCUUGUGGACAACGCUCUCAUGUACAUUUCAGGAUUUGUUGUGUGACAGGCUCUGAAGAAGCUUUCGUGUGAUGUCUGCUGUGCCAGCCUGGUGACAUGCUGCAUCUGCCAUCAAGGACCAGAGCUACCACCUGCUGAAUUUAAAAAACAAUGGAGGUCUGGUGAUUCCAUCAGAGGGAACCGUGAGUGUCGUCAGGGCAGCAGAGUGGGUCAUUCGGCAGUCAUCAGGCAGUACCAGACGAUCACAGCCCAUUAAACUGCUUGAGGUUGUUUACAUUGUCUGAAAAAGGAUCGGUUCAGAGGAUGUUUGUGUUGGGAUAGACAGUAUGGGAUAGACAUCCACCACCAUAGGCUGUUAAAAAUAAUUCUGUCCCUGUUUUUUAAGUUAAGGCUGCACCACAUCGCCAGAAUUACAAUC
ensembl:lncRNA